rnacentral:lncRNA from 1 species
GCUUGGGUACGGUGGGAUAAACAAAAAAAUUGGAUAACAAAGGGUUUUGAACUCGGUAGUCAUGUUGUGUGAUUUUUCUUUCUCUUUUUUUUUUGUGCAUCACAUAUACUCUGGGGGUUAAUUUCACUCUUUUGACUCUUUUUCUACUCAAAUUUUCCGAGCAUUUUAUAUCUGUUAGAGUCUUAGGUCUCGGCAAGUGCAUUUUUCUCUUUUGUUUUUCUUUUCUCUUUUUUUUUCUUUUUUUUUUUUUUAAAGAAAAUACAUACUAUUUUUCUUUUUGUAUGAUCUCAUCUUAUGCACUUGCCUUCUCUUUCAAGAUUUCCACCCCAAA